rnacentral:rRNA from 1 species
UUAGGCAUACUUAGUACGGCGAGUGAAGCGGUAAAAGCUCAAAUUUGAAAUCUGGUACUUUCAGUGCCCGAGUUGUAAUUUGUAGAAUUUGUCUUUGAUUAGGUCCUUGUCUAUGUUCCUUGGAACAGGACGUCAUAGAGGGUGAGAAUCCCGUUUGGCGAGGAUACCUUUUCUCUGUAAGACUUUUUCGAAGAGUCGAGUUGUUUGGGAAUGCAGCUCAAAGUGGGUGGUAAAUUCCAUCUAAAGCUAAAUAUUGGCGAGAGACCGAUAGCGAACAAGUACAGUGAUGGAAAGAUGAAAAGAACUUUGAAAAGAGAGUGAAAAAGUACGUGAAAUUGUUGAAAGGGAAGGGCAUUUGAUCAGACAUGGUGUUUUUUGCAUGCACUCGCCUCUCGUGGGCUUGGGCCUCUCAAAAAUUUCACUGGGCCAACAUCAAUUCUGGCAGCAGGAUAAAUCAUUAAGAAUGUAGCUACUUCGGUAGUGUUAUAGCUUUUUGGAAUACUGUUAGCCGGGAUUGAGGACUGCGCUUCGGCAAGGAUGUUGGCAUAAUGGUUAAAUGCCGCCCGUCUUGAACCCACGGACCA